AGGUGACAUUUUUUUGUGUCUACCACUUGACAUUUUUGUCCCAUUACCCUCAGGACCUUUUAAGAAAUUUAAAAUGACUGUCUUACUGCGUCCAACCUCGGCAGCACUGGCGCGUUGCGAGAGGCCUUGCUUGUGCAGCUCAACAAUCCUGCCACGUUCAAAGACAGAAAGCCUUUUUGCCUUUGCCAUCAGGUGUUCAUGACAGUGUGAAUGCCUGAUAGAAAAUGACAUGAAAGCCAGAUUUUUGCACAGAUUUGGACUUUUUAAGGCUAUGGUCUUAAACUUUUGAUCAGCUGAUGAACAGCCUGUUUGAGUUUAAAUGCAAUUUUCAAUAAAUUGCCUCCUCUAUU